AAUAAAAAGACAAAGAAACAAAAGAAGAACAGAAUAGAAACAGAGAAAGAGACGAAAAACAGGGGAAGAAAAAGGGAAAGAAAAAGAAAAGGGAAAAUUGAGAUUUUAAAGCUUCAAGUUAAUUGCUAACAAGGAAAACGAGGCAUCGGCAUCCAAAGGAAAAGAAAAGAUCGUUGAGGAGUAAACGCGUAUUCCGGGUUGUAGAAGUCAAGUAUUGAGCCAGCAUCCAAAACCAGACCCGACUUCAGCAAAUUUUGGUGAUGUAUAUUUUCUUUUAGAAUGUGGCAUGUACAUAGGAUGUGUAUAAACGUUAUUAUGUUUUGAAUAUAAAUAGCUAAAAAUGUUAGUAUUAUAAAUCUAAGAAUUUUAAUGAAAGAAAUUUAUCCAUUCCAAAUUAAUUAGUACAUUGAUAAAUUUAAAUUGAUAUUGAAUUAAUUGAGUUUGAUUAGAAUGCAUUUAGAAUAGAAAAUAAGAAUGUGAAAUGAAUUGGUUGAAUUGGCUGAAUUGGUUAUGUUUGUAAAAAUUUAUGGUUUUAUUUGCAGGAGGUUUAGUGUAAAAGUAAGCAGAAAUGCUGCCGAAAUUUUUAUAAAAAAAAAGUCAAUUUGUAAUUUUUAUAUGAAUUUAUGAUUUUAUCUUAAUAUGUUUGAUAUUUAUUUAAGAAUUAUUGUAAAUUAUCAGAUAUGUCCGGUAAUGCCUCGUAACCCUAUUCCGGUGAUGGUUUGGGGUUAGGGGGU